UACGUAGGGGGCAAGCGUUGUCCGGAAUCAUUGGGCGUAAAGCGCGUGUAGGCGGUUUGGUAAGUCCGCUGUGAAAGUCCAGGGCUCAACCCUGGAAAGCCGAUGGAUACUGCAGGGCUAGAGUCCGGAAGAGGCGAGUGGAAUUCCUGGUGUAGCGGUGGAAUGCGCAGAUAUCAGGAGGAACACCAAUAGCGAAGGCAGCUCGCUGGGACGGUACUGACGCUAAGGCGCGAAAGCGUGGGGAGCGAACAGG
rnacentral:rRNA from 1 species